GACGAACGCUGGCGGCGUGCUUAACACAUGCAAGUCGAACGGAAAGGCCCUGCUUUUGUGGGGUGCUCGAGUGGCGAACGGGUGAGUAACACGUGAGUAACCUGCCCUUGACUUUGGGAUAACUUCAGGAAACUGGGGCUAAUACCGGAUAGGAGCUCCUGCUGCAUGGUGGGGGUUGGAAAGUUUCGGCGGUUGGGGAUGGACUCGCGGCUUAUCAGCUUGUUGGUGGGGUAGUGGCUUACCAAGGCUUUGACGGGUAGCCGGCCUGAGAGGGUGACCGGCCACAUGGGAACGGGGAUCCGGCCCAGACUCCUACGGGAGGAAGCAGGGGGGAAUAUGGCAAAAUGGGCGGAGGCCUGAUGCAGCAACGCCGCGUGCGGGAGGACGGCCUUCGGGUGGUAAACCGCUUUCGCCUGUGACGAAGCGUGAGGGACGGUAAUGGGUAAAGAAGCACCGGCGAACUACGU
rnacentral:rRNA from 1 species